UGAAGCACAUGGUUACUGAACAAUCAACAAAGGAGCAGACAGUAAACAACAGUGAUGUCCCAGACCCUGUUCCUACAUCCUCAUUCGUGAGUUAUCCCAUCAUUGAUCAAAGUGUUGUAGUACCUGUUUCCCUACCACCUAUACAAUCUUCAUCUGAGGCAUAUCCCAUCAGUGACCAAGGCAUUUCAGUCCCUGCGGUUCCACAAACUCCACCUUCAUCUGUGUCUUAUCCUAUCAUUGAUUUUUCAGAAGCUGCUCCUGUUGGACCCUCUCAAGUGCCACACCCUGCAAUCAGCG
rnacentral:lncRNA from 1 species